rnacentral:sRNA from 1 species
UUUCAUUUGUGUUGCUGAAUUUCGAAGAGUGAUGGUGGGAGUGUGUGUGGUGGGGGCAGUAUCAACCUCAUCCUUCCCUUGACCGAGACCUUUCACUGCUCCUGGACUUUCAGGGUGUGCUAUCCUUUGCCUCCCCCCACAACCUGUCUGCUGCCCUAAAAAAAAAAAUUUAAAAAAAAAAAAAAACGACGGCAACCUAACCGGAGCAUCUCUGGGACGCCAAAGAAAUCAUUACUGAACACCCGCACACAAAAGUAAUCUGUGAGGUGUGUUUUAAAGAAAGAAACAGCUGAAAACUUGAAGACGUGUUUAGAAAUAUACAUAUAUACACACUAUUUUCUUGUGGGAGAUCUCCUUUGGGCAAAGGUAUACAAAUGCUCUCAGUCCAGCCAGACACCAAGCCGAAAGGUUGUGCUGGCUGCAACCGAAAGAUCAAGGACCGGUAUCUUCUAAAGGCACUGGACAAAUACUGGCAUGAAGACUGCCUGAAGUGUGCCUGCUGUGACUGUCGCUUGGGAGAGGCUCUUCGGUGUAACGGGAAACUGUGCUGCCUG